UGCGGAGGUUGCCUGAUUACUGUUAUACAACAAUUGGAUUCUAUGGAACUAUUUAUUUGUUUCUGAUCGGCCGAGAGACGUUCCAUGAGUUGGAAUAUCCCUGGACUGCUUGAACAAGAAUACACCUUUGCGUUCUACUCCAGCUUCCCCUGCGGAUGGUCGGCCCAAUCACCAGACUUCUCUCAACCAAGUGGCCCUGAUAAAUGCCUGUCGGAAACUAGCCAACGGAGAUGAGCAAGAGCGACUUAGUCGCAGUGAAGAGAGAAGAGAAACCAAAAGCCUUUCUCCCCCGAGACGCAGGCGCAGUCGCAGUGUUGCCUCCCCCAAUCACUCACUCUCUCCAGAGCGUCACAAAAAAGUCUCUCACAGAGAAAGGGAUGGAGAGAAGGACCGGUGGAGGGAUAGAGACAGAGAUAAAGACCGGAGUAGGGAGAAGAGUAGGGAGAGGGAAAGAGAGAAGGACAGAGAGAGAGACCGACAGGAAUCACCGAAGAGAGAGAGAAAGAGGGGAGAGAGAAGGACCCAGGAAGGAAGUGCGUUCGUCACACAGAAGAUGACCCUUCAGAUCAGAGGACCACAUUCCAAGAUGUAUUAUGGACCAAAAAUCAAGUUGUAAUUUUUUAAAACUUUAGACAAAAAGCUGUGACUUUCAUAAACUGUUUUUGUAAUAAAAAGUUGUCAUAUUUUA